UGGGGGAUUUUGCACAAUGGGCGCAAGCCUGAUGCAGCGACGCCGCGUGAGGGAUGAAGGCCUUCGGGUUGUAAACCUCUUUCGCUGGGUUGAAAGGCCAUGCUUUGGGUGUGGUUGAUUUGAACUGGUAAAGAAGUACCGGCUGACUACGUGCCAGCAGCCGCGGUAAUACGUAGGGUACUAGCGUUGUCCGGAUUUAUUGGGCGUAAAGGGCUUGUAGGUGGUUUGUCGCGUCUGUCGUGAAAUCCUGUGGCUUAACCAUGGGCUUGCGGUGGGUACGGGCAGGCUUGAGUGCGGUAGGGGAGACUGGAAUUCCUGGUGUAGCGGUGGAAUGCGCAGAUAUCAGGAGGAACACCGGUGGCGAAGGCGGGUCUCUGGGCCGUUACUGACACUGAGGAGCGAAAGCGUGGGGAGCGAACAGG
rnacentral:rRNA from 1 species